GAUGAAAACCAAAUAGGAGAUACAUGGAUGCACUAUACGUGAAGCAUUGACCUCGAGGAUGUCCUUUCAUUGGAGCUUUGCAUUUAGUACAUUUGCGAGUACUUUUAUUCCCAGAGCUAUUUAAUAUUUGAUCUGCAUCAUCUGUUAGGUCUUGUAACUGAUGUCUUUGCUGUUCCACUAAGGAAAAAAUGCAGAUCAUUACAUCCUAAAAUAAUUGUAAACAAUACCAUUAUCCCAUACUUACAGCAUGGAUAAAGUGCAUGACUGACAUGCUUGUUCCUCGCAACAUAUUUUUUUACUGCCUCAGCCUUGGAUCGUUUGUUGGGAAACUGGCUGCACAAAGGUUCGGGUGCUUUUCCUCUAUAUCUUUCCAUUAUAGUUGAAAGUUCUUGUUUAUUAGACAUGAAAAGAACAUUCUUUACUUGUUCAACAUAUUCUAGAAAUUGAUAUGAAAAAUAAUUUGUUACUGAUGCUUCAA